CCAAUAGCGUAUAUUAAAGUUGUUGCAGUUAAAAAGCUCGUAGUUGAAUUUCAGGCCUGGCUGGACGGUCCGCCCUUCGGGUGAGUACUGUCUGUGGUCGGGUCCUACCUUCUGGCGAAGCGUCAUGGCCUUAACCGGCCGUGGCGGGGAACCAGGACUUUUACUGUGAAAAAAUUAGAGUGUUUAAAGCAGGCUAACGCUUGAAUACAUUAGCAUGGAAUAAUGAAAUAGGACGUUCGAUCCUAUUUUGUUGGUUUCUAGGAUUGACGUAAUGAUUAAUAGGGAUAGUUGGGGGCAUUAGUAUUCAAUUGUCAGAGGUGAAAUUCUUGGAUUUAUUGAAGACUAACUACUGCGAAAGCAUUUGCCAAGGAUGUUUUCAUUAAUCAAGAACGAAAGUUAGGGGAUCGAAGACGAUCAGAUACCGUCGUAGUCUUAACCAUAAACUAUGCCGACUAGGGAUCGGAUGAUGUUAAUUUUUUAAUGACUCAUUCGGCGCCUUACG
rnacentral:rRNA from 1 species